UUUUUAAGGAAUUAGCAAGAUCAGAAUGUUAUAAUAUGUUGAUACACCACAUACUUAUAAACUUACGUGUUAUAUAUAUAUAUAUAUAUAUAUAUAUAUAUAUAUAUAUAUAUAUAUAUAUAUUGAAAAUCAGAAUGACACAUUCCUUAAACAAGAGGCCCAUGGGCCUAUAAUUGCUCUUCUGAUACAUUGUAGAACAGGCAAAAAUUCUCACUAAGAUUCAUCAAUUAACAAAGUUUGAUGAUGUUAAGUCAAAUAGUACCUGAAAAUUUAAAUGUAACUGUUCAAAAGUAGGUCACGAUCACCUACUUUUGGUCGACACACUGAAGACCCAAGAUGCAUCAACUGACAAGUCAAAUAGUAUUUUGAUAUAGGCGUCAAAUUCCAAAAGAAGGCCACAGUGACCUACUUUUUGGUCGACACACUCCAAAGACUCAAGAUGCAUCAACUAACAAAGUUUGAUAAUUGUAGUCAAAUAGUAUCUGAAAUAUUCAGAUAUAAACGUUAAAUUCGAAAAGUAGGUUACAGUGACCUACUUUUAGGUCGAUACACUCUGAAGACUCAAGACCCAUCAACUGACAAAGUUUGAUGAUUGUAAGUCAAAUGGUAUCUGAAAUAUUCAAAUAUAGCCGCCAAAAUCCAAAAAUAGGUCACGGUGACCUACAUUUUAGGCAACACAAUCUGAAGACUCAACAUGCAUUAACUGACAAAGUUUGAUAAUUGUAAGUCAAAUAGUAUCUGAAAUAUUAAAAUAUAGGCGUCAAAUUCCAAAAGUAGGUCACGGUGAUCUACUAUUUGGUCAACAAACUAUGAAGACUCAAGAUGCAUCAACUGACAAAGUUUGAUGAUCCUAGCUUUCAUAGUGUCCAAAAUAUGCAUCUAAAAUUGAAAAUGUGAAAUUUGAAUGUCUGCAAAAUUCAAAAAGUAGGUCACUGUGACCUACUUUUUUUUUUAUAAAUAUGUUUCGAGGCCUCUAGACGCAUCAACUUACAUGAUUUGAUGAUUAUAAACCUCUCAAUAUCUGAAAUAACAACCUAAAAUGUAUUCAUAAAUGAUUAGCCAUAAAAUUCAGAAAGUAGGUCAUGGUGACCUACUUUUCACAUGACGCAGUUGAAGGUCCUAUGUUCCAUCAACUGACAACUUUUGAUGAUCAUACGCUCAAAAGUGUCCAAGAUAUACAUCAAAAUCCAUUUAAUAAUAAUUAACUGCGAAAUUCAAAUAGUAGGUCACCAUGACUUACUUUUGAGACAACAUGAUAUUAAGUCCUAAGAUGCAUCAACUCACAAAAUUUGAUGAUCCUAGUCCUUAUUCUAAGCAAAAUAUCAAAGUUUUAACAAGACAAAAUUUACGGUUAACUUUGAAGUGACCUUGAAACCACACCCUUUGCUCCAGGAUGAUGUCUUGAACAAUUUUUUUUUUAUUUACAACCUAUCCUCAUCCUUAUGCAUAAGUUUGGUGAUAAUUUGCCCAGCGGUUCUUGAGAAGAAGAUUUUUUAGCAACCAUUACUUUUGUUUGUAUUUUCCUAAUUAUCUCCCCUUGUUAAAGGGUCAUAACCCUAGUUUUAGUACAAAUAAAAGCCCUUAGGCCAAGAAUACCCUGUGACAAAGAACAUGACCCACAAUAUGCCAUUUUUGGCCUACCAAAUUUGGAAAAAUUAAAGAACACUUUAGAAUAAAUCUAAGAUUAUAUUUUUUAUCCAUAACAUGAGCCAAGUUGUAUUGCGCAAUCGUUUCCUCACACCGGAUGUUUAAAGCACUCAAGUAAAUGCCCAAACCUACCGCAGUUUCACGUUUUCCGGGAAAAUCGCAUAAAUUUGCCAACUUCAGUCUAUAAAUUCACAUGGGCCGCAUUACUCACGACUCGAUUUUGUAAACUAAAAUUAAAAUGCAAAGUUAGAUUAACACUUUCCAUUAAAAAAAUUAACUCGUAAUCAAUGCGGCCACGUCGAAAAAAAAAAUAAUAACAAAAGUGUCGUCUGGAAACGUCAGAUUCCAAGGAAGUCAAUACAUACAUCUAACGCAGUUGAUACGACUCAAAAAGAAACAGCAAAGAGAUAUGCCAAGGAGUGGUCCCAAAUUCUUUCUCUGUUUCAAUUGUCCAUGGAGAGUAAAACCAAAACACAGAUCCAGGAUUUCAAAGAAAUAUAGGACAGCGAUCGCCACUCUGAUAGGGAGGACACCAUCUGAUUAUGAUUUUCUGUGCAAUAGAUGCCAGAGUGUGUGUGUUGCUCCCAUAUUAAACAGAUGAAUAUCAACUCGGUUAGGCCACAGAUUCAAGACAGUCCAGCACCACCAGCAGCAGCAGCAGCAGCAG